rnacentral:rRNA from 1 species
UGGGGAAUAUUGCACAAUGGGCGCAAGCCUGAUGCAGCAACGCCGCGUGAACGAUGAAGGUCUUCGGAUCGUAAAGUUCUGUUGCAGGGGAAGAUAAUGACGGUACCCUGUGAGGAAGCCCCGGCUAACUACGUGCCAGCAGCCGCGGUAAUACGUAGGGGGCUAGCGUUAUCCGGAUUUACUGGGCGUAAAGGGUGCGUAGGUGGUCUUUCAAGUCGGUGGUUAAAGGCUACGGCUCAACCGUAGUUAGCCUCCGAAACUGGAAGACUUGAGUGCAGGAGAGGAAAGUGGAAUUCCCAGUGUAGCGGUGAAAUGCGUAGAUAUUGGGAGGAACACCAGUAGCGAAGGCGGCUGUCUGGACUGCAACUGACACUGAGGCACGAAAGCGUGGGUAGCAAACAGG